CUCAGGAAGGCUUUCUCGGGGAGAAAGCUGGUUGGGGAACUGCUAAACGACCUAAAAGAAAAAGAGGAGACUGACUCUGACCUUUCAAAGCCCUAUCUCAUCUGGUUGAUAGUAGAAGGUACGUACGAUGAUACCAUGGACAUAAACGAGGUCGAGCAUAUCUUUAAUGAUUUCAAACUAAAGCGUACCUAAAGCCUGCCCUGGAUAUGAAAAAGGGAUUUGAGCCAGAAGAAGAUGAGGAUCUAUCACCAGAUGAGGAAAUGGAAACAACUAAGUAUUAGUUAGGUUUAGGUUCAGGAAAUGGAAAUGGUAACAGCGGCCCAAAAAUGGUAAGGUUUUCUUUGAAAAGAAAAAGGAACGCAAAAGU
rnacentral:lncRNA from 1 species